CAUCAUACGAGGUCGGCUUGAGAGUGUGACAACUGAUGGUGGGAGAAGUGGUUUCUUCAACCGUAGUUUGUUAAAAGAAGGCGACUUUUGUGGAGAGGAACUUCUAACAUGGGCACUAGACCCAAAAUCCGGUUCUAACCUUCCGUCUUCAACUCGUACAGUGAACAGUUUAUUAAAAGAAGGCGACUUUUGUGGAGAGGAACUUCUAACAUGGGCACUAGACCCAAAAUCCGGUUCUAACCUCCCGUCUUCAACUCGUACAGUGAAAGCUCUGACGGAAGUGGAGGCUUUCGCUCUCACAGCAGACGAGUUGAAAUUCGUUGCCAGUCAGUUCAGAAGGCUUCACAGUAGACAGGUUCAGCACACGUUCCGAUUCUACUC
rnacentral:lncRNA from 1 species